rnacentral:lncRNA from 1 species
GAUCGGGAUAAAAACCCAGGCAUUAUUCGAUCCAGUAGCUGUAACCCGCUUUGGGUCCCCUCCCAUUGUGUGGGAGCUCUGUUUUCACUCUGUUAAAUCUUGCAACUUCACACUCUUCUAGUCCGUUUUUGUUCUGGCUUGUUCUGGCUCGAGCUGAGCUUUCAGUCGCCGUCCACCACUGCUGAUCACUGCCCUUGCAGACCCGCUGCUGACUUCCACCCCACCAGAUCCAGCAGCGUGUCUCCUACGCUUCUGAUCCAGGAGGCGCCCAUUGCCGUUCCUAAUGGGGCUAGAGGCUCGCCGUUGUUCCUGCACGGCUAAGUGCCCGGGUUCAUCCUAAUCAAGCUGAACACUAGUUGCUGGGUUCCACAGUUCUCUUCUGUGACCCACGGUUUCUAAUAGAGCUAUAACACUCACCGCAUGGCCCAAGGUUCCAUUCCUUGGAAUCUGUGAGGCCAAGAACCCCAGGUCAGAGAACAAAAGGCUUCCCGCCAUCUUGGGAGCAGCGCCCUUGGGAGCAGCCUGCCACCAUCUUGGGAACUCUAAGAAAAAAGACCUGCAGUGGUAGGGGGUGCCAGAUGCAAAAACCUAUCUUUCCACACUGAAAGAUAUAUCUUCACGUCCUGGACAAUGGGACCCUAAAAUAUUUUGCCUAGGCUGUCGCUAUCUCUGCUC